UACGUAGGGUGCAAGCGUUGCCCGGAUUUAUUGGGCGUAAAGAGCGCGUAGGCGGUCCGAUAAGUCGGCUGUGAAAGUCAGGGGCUCAACCCUUGGAAGCCGGCCGAUACUGUCGGACUAGAGUCCGGAAGAGGCGAGUGGAAUUCCUGGUGUAGCGGUGAAAUGCGCAGAUAUCAGGAGGAACACCCGUGGCGAAAGCGGCUCUCUGGGACGGUACUGACGCUGAGACGCGAAAGCGUGGGGAGCAAACAGG
rnacentral:rRNA from 1 species